rnacentral:rRNA from 1 species
AGCGAACGCUGGCGGCAGGCUUAACACAUGCAAGUCGAGCGGGCACUUUCGGGUGUCAGCGGCGGACGGGUGAGUAACGCGUGGGAACGUGCCCUCUGGUUCGGAAUAACUCAGGGAAACUUGAGCUAAUACCGGAUACGCCCUUUUGGGGAAAGGCUUGCUGCCGGAGGAUCGGCCCGCGUCUGAUUUGCUAGUUGGUGAGGUAACGGCUCACCAAGGCGACGAUCAGUAGCUGGUCUGAGAGGAUGAUCAGCCACACUGGGACUGAGACACGGCCCAGACUCCUACGGGAGGCAGCAGUGGGGAAUAUUGGACAAUGGGCGCAAGCCUGAUCCAGCCAUGCCGCGUGAGUGAUGAAGGCCUUAGGGUUGUAAAGCUCUUUUAUCCGGGACGAUAAUGACGGUACCGGAGGAAUAAGCCCCGGCUAACUUCGUG